CAGUCGCCGCGGUAAUACGUAGGGUGCAAGCGUUAAUCGGAAUUACUGGGCGUAAAGCGUGCGCAGGCGGUUAUAUAAGACAGUCGUGAAAUCCCCGGGCUCAACCUGGGAACUGCGAUUGUGACUGUAUGGCUAGAGUGUGUCAGAGGGGGGUAGAAUUCCACGUGUAGCAGUGAAAUGCGUAGAUAUGUGGAGGAAUACCGAUGGCGAAGGCAGCCCCCUGGGAUAACACUGACGCUCAUGCACGAAAGCGUGGGGAGCAAACAGGAUUAGAUACCCCAGUAGUCCCUGUCUCUUAUAA
rnacentral:rRNA from 1 species